AGGGGAAUAUUGCGCAAUGGGCGAAAGCCUGACGCAGCGACGCCGCGUGAGGGAUGAAGGUUUUCGGAUCGUAAACCUCUGUCAGAAGGGAAGAAACCGCACUGUGCUAAUCAGCAGUGCCUUGACGGUACCUUCAAAGGAAGCACCGGCUAACUCCGUGCCAGCAGCCGCGGUAAUACGGAGGGUGCAAGCGUUAAUCGGAAUUACUGGGCGUAAAGCGCACGUAGGCUGCUUUGUAAGUCAGGGGUGAAAUCCCACGGCUCAACCGUGGAACUGCCUUUGAUACUGCUUAGCUUGAAUCCGGGAGAGGGUGGCGGAAUUCCAAGUGUAGGAGUGCAAUCCGUAGAUAUCUGGAGGAACAUCAGUGGCGAAGGCGGCCACCUGGACCGGUAUUGACGCUGAGGUGCGAAAGCGUGGGGAGCAAACAGG
rnacentral:rRNA from 1 species